rnacentral:rRNA from 1 species
UAAUACGUAGGGGGCAAGCGUUGUCCGGAUUUAUUGGGCGUAAAGAGCGUGUAGGCGGCUAGAUAGGUCCGUUGUGAAAACUCGAGGCUCAACCUCGAGACGCCGAUGGAAACCAUCUGGCUAGAGUCCGGAAGAGGAGAGUGGAAUUCCUGGUGUAGCGGUGAAAUGCGCAGAUAUCAGGAAGAACACCCGUGGCUAAGGCGGCUCUCUAGUACG